rnacentral:tRNA from 1 species
AGGGGUGUAGCUCAAUUGGCAGAGCGCUGGUUUCCAAAACCAGAGGUUGCGAGUUCGAUUCCCGCCGCCCCUGCCA